UACGAAGGUCCCAAGCGUUAUCCGGAUUUAUUGGGCUUAAAGGGUGCGUAGGCGGGCUAUCAAGUCAGUGGUGAAAUCUCCGAGCCUAACUCGGAAAUUGCCAUUGAUACUGAUGGUCUUGAGUACAUUUGAAGUGGGCGGAAUGUGUCAUGUAGCGGUGAAAUGCUUAGAUAUGACACAGAACACCGAUUGCGUAGGCAGCUCACUAAACUGUAACUGACGCUGAGGCACGAAAGCGUGGGGAGCAAACAGG
rnacentral:rRNA from 1 species